rnacentral:rRNA from 1 species
GUGGGGAAUCUUGGACAAUGGGGGAAACCCUGAUCCAGCGAUGCCGCGUGACCGAUGAAGGCCCUCGGGUCGUAAAGGUCUUUCGAUGGGGACUAUAAUGAAGGUACCCAUAAAAGCAGGAGCGGCUAACUAUGUGCCAGCAGCCGCGGUAAUACAUAGGCUCCAAGCGUUGUUCGGAAUUACUGGGCGUAAAGCGAGUGUAGGCGGCCUGCCAAGUCGAUUGUGAAAUCUCCCGGCUCAACUGGGAGGGUGCGGUCGAAACUGGCAGGCUAGAGUUCGGGAGAGGAGAGUGGAAUUCCUGGUGUAGCGGUGAAAUGCGUAGAUAUCAGGAGGAACACCGGAGGUGAAGACGGCUCUCUGGACCGAUACUGACGC